GUGCUCACUUCAGCAGCACAUAUGCUAAAAUUGGAACAAUACAGAGAUUAGCAUGUCCUCUGAACAGGGAUGGCAUGCAAAUUUGUGAAGCAUUCCAUAUUUUA
rnacentral:snRNA from 1 species